rnacentral:rRNA from 1 species
GUGUCAGCCGCCGCGGUAAUACGUAGGGAGCGAGCGUUGUCCGGAAUUACUGGGCGUAAAGGGCGCGUAGGCGGUUGUUCAAGUCACAUGUGAAAUACCCGGGCUCAACUUGGGGGGUGCAUGUGAAACUGGAUAACUUGAGUGUGGUAGAGGAAAGUGGAAUUCCUAGUGUAGCGGUGAAAUGCGUAGAUAUUAGGAGGAACACCAGUGGCGAAGGCGACUUUCUGGGCCACAACUGACGCUGAGGCGCGAAAGCGUGGGGAGCAAACAGGAUUAGAUACCCUGGUAGUCCACGCUGUAAACGAUGAAUGCUAGGUGUAGGAGGUAUCGACCCCUUCUGUGCCGCAGCUAACGCAAUAAGCAUUCCGCCUGGGGAGUACGGCCGCAAGGUUGAAACUCAAAUGAAUUGACGG